UCAUAUGUUGAAACCCAAUCUCCAUAGUGACA
rnacentral:piRNA from 1 species